rnacentral:rRNA from 1 species
AGUGAACGCUGGCGGCGUGCUUAACACAUGCAAGUCGAACGAGAACGAUUAUAGCUUGCUAUAAUUGUCAGCUAAGUGGCGGACGGGUGAGUAAUGUAUAGGUAAUAUGCCUCUUACUAAGGGAUAACAAAUGGAAACGUUUGCUAAUACCUUAUACUCCUUAUUAACAGAAGUUAAUAAGGGAAAGAUUUAUUGGUAAGAGAUUAGCCUGUAUUGUAUCAGUUAGUUGGUGGGGUAAUGGCUUACCAAGACUAUGACACAUAACUGGUUUGAGAGGAUGAUCAGUCACACUGGAACUGAGACACGGUCCAGACUCCUACGGGAGGCAGCAGUGGGGAAUAUUGCACAAUGGACGAAAGUCUGAUGCAGCAACGCCGCGUGGAGGAUGACACAUUUCGGUGCGUAAACUCCUUUUAUAUGAGAAGAUAAUGACGGUAUUAUAUGAAUAAGCACCGGCUAACUCCGUG